rnacentral:rRNA from 1 species
UACAGAGGUCCCAAGCGUUGUUCGGAUUCACUGGGCGUAAAGGGUGCGUAGGUGGUGAAGUAAGUCGGAUGUGAAAUCUCCGAGCUCAACUCGGAAAAUGCAUUGGAAACUACUUUGCUAGAGGAGUGGAGGGGGGACUGGAAUACUUGGUGUAGCAGUGAAAUGCGUAGAUAUCAAGUGGAACACCAGUGGCGAAGGCGAGUCCCUGGACAUCUCCUGACACUGAGGCACGAAAGCUAGGGGAGCAAACAGG